rnacentral:rRNA from 1 species
CCCAGACUCCUACGGGAGGCAGCAGUGGGGGAUAUUGCACAAUGGGGGGAACCCUGAUGCAGCGGCGCCGCGUGGGUGAAGAAGCGCCUCGGCGCGUAAAGCCCUGUCAGCAGGGAAGAAAAUGACGGUACCUGAAGAAGAAGCCCCGGCUAACUACGUGCCAGCAGCCGCGGUAAUACGUAGGGGGCAAGCGUUAUCCGGAUUUACUGGGUGGAAAGGGGGCGCAGACGGCGAUGCAAGACAGGAGUGAAAGCCCGGGGCGCAACCCCGGGACUGCUCUUGGAACUGCGUGGCUGGAGUGCAGGAGGGGGAGGCGGAAUUCCUGGUGUAGCGGUGAAAUGCGUAGAUAUCAGGAGGAGCACCGGUGGCGAAGGCGGCCUGCUGGACUGCAACUGACGUUGAGGCGCGAAAGCGUGGGGAGCAAACAGGAUUAGAUACCCGCGU